rnacentral:tRNA from 1 species
UUUGUAGAAACUUAAAAAGUAUUUAACUGUUAAUUAAAAUAAAUGCAGGUUAAAAUCCUGUCUACAAAG